GCAUAACGCGAAGAACCUUACCAAGGCUUGACAUGCAUCUCUAAGCGCGUGAAAGCGCGUGACCCUUCGGGGGAUUUGCACAGGUGCUGCAUGGCCGUCGUCAGCUCGUGUCGUGGGAUGUUGGGUUAAGUCCCGCAACGAGCGCAACCCUUGUGAACAGUUGCCAGCGGGUGAUGCCGGGAACUCUGUUCAGACUGCCCAGAUCAACUGGGAGGAAGGUGGGGACGACGUCAGGUCAGUAUGGCCCUUACGCCUUGGGCUGCACACGUACUACAAUGCCCAGCACAAUGAGAACCGAUGCCGCGAGGUGGAGGAAAUCUGAAAAACUGGGCCCAGUUCGGAUUGGAGGCUGCAACUCGCCUCCAUGAAGUUGGAAUCGCUAGUAAUGGCGCAUCAUCUACGGCGCCGUGAAUACGUUCCCGGGUCUUGUACACACCG
rnacentral:rRNA from 1 species